ACUUGCAGGUACACAUAGUGCUUGCCCCAACACAGUGCCACCCCUCUGUAUCUGAUGCAGAACUAUGUUCUGUAUCAAAUCUCCAUUAAUCUCAGCAGGCCCUGAGGAGCAGACUGGCAUGGAACACAGCCAUGCAAGACGUUUGCUCACAUGUUCACUUCCACUGAAGUUUACCAAGUUAACAGUUUACCAAGGCAAUCCUUCCAUCAGAGAAGCAGGAAUGACAACUUCACUGAAUAAACACAAGCAGAGCUCAAACCUUCAUUUGGGACUGUCCUCCUGGUGUUAGUGGAUGAGGAAUUAUACCUGUAUCACAUUUUGGGAAAUCAAAGAGGAUUUCCUCUCCGAAGGACUCUGGAGAUAAAUGUGACACGCUGCAAAGAGGCUGGCCUGCAUAAAGCUUCACAGACCUAUUUCUGUGAAACUGCCCCUUUGAACAAACAGGUCCAUGGAAACAAAGACACGUCACGUCUCAGCAGGAGCUGUUCCUCUGACCAGACUGUAACAUCCAGAAAUUCCAGACAGAGGUCUGCAGUCUUCAGAUUCCACCACUUUCACACGACUGUCAGAAGGGUGCGGGAAGGAGAAGGACAGCACAGCCACAAAAGCACAGCCGUGCAACCAUCCUUGUGCCAGCAGCUCUGCAAGCCUUUCUCUCUCAGCUUUCCUUUUGUCUAAAUAGACGCAUUGCCUUUCUUUUGCCUCUCUACUUUACAAUGCAGAACUUUCAACUUUAGGUUUCCAACUUGCCUUGCAGGAGAGCAACACAUGAGGGAACCACCUGCUACGUUCUCAGCAGGCAGCUGG
rnacentral:lncRNA from 7 species